AAGUCGUAACAAGGUUUCCGUAGGUGAACCUGCGGAAGGAUUAUUAACACGUAUCCGUGAACUUUCAGCUUGCUCCUGUAGCCCGUGAAAACAGCAAUCCCUGGUAAAUCAUUGUUGACCAGCUUUUGAGUCAGGGACCUCUGCCGAUUGUGAUAUUUUAUAGCUACGGUUGAGCGAUUGCACAUCCCCAAGUAAUCAGUGUCUGAAAGUGUCAUUGAUUAUGUAAGGAAGGCGCUGUAGGCCCACACGGCCGGCGACCGGGUCACCCUUUACGACAACACAGUACGAAUUGGCCGCGCGUGAAAUUCGCACGGCACCAAAAACCGAACAACUGUUAACAAUGGAUAUCUUGGUUCUC
rnacentral:misc_RNA from 1 species